CCUACGGGCGGCAGCAGUGAGGAAUAUUGGUCAAUGGGCGCUAGCCUGAACCAGCCAAGUAGCGUGCAGGAUGAAUGCCCUACGGGUCGUAAACUGCUUUUACACGGGGAUAACAUGCACCACGUGUACUGCUCUGCAUGUACCGUGCGAAUAAGGACCGGCUAAUUCCGUGCCAGCAGCCGCGGUAAUACGGAGGGCCCGAGCGUUAUCCGGAUUCAUUGGGGUUAAAGGGAGCGUAGGCGGGGGGUUAAGUCAGCUGUGAAAGUUUCCGGCCUAACCGUAGCACUGCAGUUGAAACUGGACUCCUUGAGUACACAACAGGCAGGCGGAAUUCGUGGUGUAGCGGUGAAAUGCAUAGAUAUCACGAGGAACCCCGAUUGCGAAGGCAGCCUGCUGGGGUGUGACUGACGCUGAUGCUCGAAGGUGUGGGUAUCAAACAUGAUUAGAUACCCUAGUAGUC
rnacentral:rRNA from 1 species